UUUUAAAUUAAAUUAAAAAAAGAUUUUUUAACUUAAUUUAGAGGACUGUGCUUGCAAGACUAGCAUUUUCCGAAGAAGGAUCGAGAAACUCAAUCCUCAAAUGCCAACUUCUCUUCAUGUUACUGUUUUAAGAACGAUUACUCCACUGUUGCCCCAGCUUCUCUUUCAGCAGUGCCUCAGCAGCCACAGGGCAUGAAUAGAUGUUCAUAUGACAAAAUUUGGAACUAUCUCCAGGUUUCAGCCAAAUUAUGGGCAAAGAAUCGUAAAGGAUUUUUGGAAGUGAUUCUUCAAUUACCAAGGAUUCUCUAUCCCAUCGUGCACCUUCCAAAAAAAGGCCUCUCACAUAAGCCCCAUCUUCUGGCAUUUUCUCCAUUGUGUGCUCCUCUUGCAUCACCUAGAAUGAUUAAACCAUUGCUUGACUUUAUUUUUAUCUGGAAUAUGUUAAAUCCUGUAAGUGAUAGUCUGAAAUUGCUCCUUUAAAUAAAACUUCUUUUCAUUUGAAAA